AGUGAACGCUGGCGGUAGGCCUAACACAUGCAAGUCGAACGGCAGCACAGUAAGAGCUUGCUCUUACGGGUGGCGAGUGGCGGACGGGUGAGGAAUACAUCGGAAUCUACUUUUUCGUGGGGGAUAACGUAGGGAAACUUACGCUAAUACCGCAUACGACCUACGGGUGAAAGCAGGGGAUCUUCGGACCUUGCGCGAUUGAAUGAGCCGAUGUCGGAUUAGCUAGUUGGCGGGGUAAAGGCCCGCCAAGGCGACGAUCCGUAGCUGGUCUGAGAGGAUUAUCAGCCACACUGGAACUGAGACACGGUCCAGACUCCUACGGGAGGCAGCAGUGGGGAAUAUUGGACAAUGGGCGCAAGCCUGAUCCAGCCAUACCGCGUGGGUGAAGAAGGCCUUCGGGUUGUAAAGCCCUUUUGUUGGGAAAGAAAAGCAGCAGGUUAAUACCCCGCUGUUCUGACGGUACCCAAAGAAUAAGCACCGGCUAACUUCGUG
rnacentral:rRNA from 1 species